AGGCAUAGGGAGGAGACG
rnacentral:misc_RNA from 1 species